rnacentral:lncRNA from 1 species
CGAGAAGACGCCUAAGGGCAACCCUGCGGCGUUCCAGCUCCGGCAGGGGCUGGAGGCGGCGGAGAAGGAGCUGGAGAAAGCCGUGUACGAGUGGGCCGAGGUGGAGAAGGUGAUCGACGGCCGCGGCGAAGGCAAGUGGCGGGAGUACCUGGUGGAGUGGCGCGACGGCGGCGAGAGGGAGUGGGUGAGGGCGCCGUGGGUGGCGGAGGACCUGGUGAGCGACUUCGAGGCCGGGCUGGAGUACGCCGUGGCGGAGGCCGUGGUGGACAAGAGGCCGGCGGCGGCGGAGGGCGGAGAGGAGAAAUGGGAGUACCUUGUCAAGUGGGUGGACAUUGAGGAGGCGACGUGGGAGCCUGCCGAGAACGUGGACGACGAGCUCGUGCAGGAGUUUGAGCUGAGGCAAUCAGGAUCCGCUGGUGGCGAUGGCAGCGCCACUGCUCCAUGAAGGUGGCCGCGUUUGCC